AACAAGAGGAACAUGAAUUAGGUUACUUACAUUAUGACUGACGACACCUCUGGUAAAAUGUACGUUUUCAGCAGUACACGACAGCUCAGCGACACAAUGGUUGUACCUGGUGCAUAGUACCUCUGACUUUAUUCUGUCUGCUUCUCUUCAUCUCUGUGUGUCUCAAUCUCACCCUCUGCAUUCUGAGACACAGGGACACCAGACACAAAGCAGACAAUGAGGAGUUUCUCAACCAACAGCAUUAUCCAAGAGAGAGAUUGGAGGAGGAAGAGGAGGAAGAGGAGAAUCAGCAGCAGGAGAAUCCCAUCUAUGGAAACAUCACUAUAGACUUGUGCUAUGAAUCCAUGACCAAUCAACGUUCCAGAAAUGACAGAAAGCCUGCGCCCCAGCCCCAACAACAACCUGACCUGAACUAUGCUUCUCUUGACCUGAACGUGGGACAGAUACCCAAGAAGAGGAAGCGUCGCUACCAGCAGGCCCAGGCCCAGGCCCAGGCCCUGCCCGAGUCCCAGAUGGGUGGGGGUUUCCUGGAAAUAGAUGCGGAAAUGGAGGCCUCCCUCCCCUCACGGAGUAGCAGCCCUCUGGCUUCUAGAAACAGCAUCUAUCUCAACAGUCUACAGAUGGCACUACAGACAGAGGAGAGGGAAUAAGAGAGAGUCAAGGGGAGGGAGAUGGAGGAGGAUAGAGAUUGGGAUGGAGACAGGAAGUGAGGAGAGGGGGAGAAAGAAACAGUAGGUUGUGAUGGAGGGAUGGAGACAGGAAGUGGGAGAGGGGCAGAAAGAUACAGUAGGUUGUGAUGGAGGGAUUGAGACAGGAAGUAACAUGUGACUGGGGUUAGAGGUUAGGGAGGAAGACCAACGGUCCUAAAUGUGAACUCAAGAACUCAAUUAGGCAGAGAGAGCGAGAAAGAGAGGGAGGGAGAGAGACAAAGAGAAUGAGAGAGAGAGAGAGAACUUGUGUUUAUUUUUUUAUUUUUUGUAUUUAACCUUUAUUUAACUAGGCAAGUACAGGUAGACAAACAUAUUAACCUACUUUAACCUCUAGCCAAUAUGUUACAAUCAGACAUUAUAGAGAAAGGGGCUCCCACUGCAUAAACUGCAGAUAUGUAUAUAUUAUUAUUAUUAUUAUUAUAUAUUUUUAUUAUUAGUAGUGUUCGUAUAUACAGUGUACAGUGCAUUCGAAGAGUAUUCAGACCCCUUGACUUUUUCCACAUUUGGUGACGUUACAGCCUUAUUCUAAAAUUAAUUUUUAAAAAACAAUUCCCCUCAUCAAUCUACAAACAAAAGCUCAUAAUCACAAAGCAUAAACAGUUUUUUAGGAUUUUUUUUUUAUACAAAUGUAUUAAAAAUAAAAAUCUGAAUAUCACAUUUACAUAAGUAUUCAGACCCUAUAAUCAGUACUUUGUUGAAGCACCUUUAGCAGCGAUUACAGCCUUGAGUCUUCUUGGUUAUGACGCUACAAGCUUGGCACACCUGUAUUUGG
rnacentral:lncRNA from 1 species